rnacentral:lncRNA from 1 species
CUGCUGCUAACAACUUUGCUAACCUCUAACCAUAUUGCUGACCCAGCCUAACAACUAACUAACUGCUGACUUAGCAUAACAGAAAUUGCAGUGUACAAAAUAGACUCUUAACAACGGAUCUGUCCUCCCUUUCUCUCUGGCAUCUCCGACAGCGCCGGACGGCCAAGGAUGGAGCGUCGCCGUCGCCGCUCGCCUCCCAAUCAUUCCUCUCUCGUGUUUUCGGCAACAGAUAUGUUCUCUCUCUCGCAUCUCCGACAGCGGACGACCAAGGAUGGAGCGCCGUCGUUGCCGCUCGCCUCAUCCCUCUCUCGCAUUUCCGGCAACGGACGGCCAAGGAGGAGCCGCCGCUGCAGAUCUGCUCAGGUUACGCCUCGCAUUUGGUUGGGGUGGGGCGCUCGUCGGAGAAGAAGUGGCGCCGGCAAGAUUUCCCUCUUCGACAGAUGAAUGUCGCCGAAAAAUUGAAGGAAUCUAGCCAGAGAAGAUGACAAAAAAAAAAUCGUUUAAAGGCGUUAAACCGUCGUUAAACUCGUGGAUUUAGUUGCACAUUUUUCUCGGAAGUUCAGGGAGGUAAAUGCGCCUUGACCGAGUAUGGGAACUCAACGCUCUAGGGG